GCCUUGGCCGUCCGCGGGUUUCCUGUAUUGCAUACCUACACGAAGGAAUUCGGGUGUCCCAACGUUUAACGUUCUCCUAGUGCCGCCCCCGCAAGGGCGCGGCGUGAGGUGAACCGCGAAGGCAAAUUCGUGGUCCAAGACAAUCGCAGCACGCGUUGUUGCUUUGGCCCACGAAGUGCAGCCUGAGCUCUCGGAUGCGGAAUACCGUGAGGGCAGGAGGUCGCGGCCUCCGUGUGCCCACGCUCGGCGUUAAUCGCUCCCAUCGAACGACUACCGUCGUCGUCUUGAGAAGUCAUGACCUUCGGGCGUGUCGUCCACAAGCGACGUCGGUGUCUGUGAGGAA
rnacentral:misc_RNA from 1 species